rnacentral:rRNA from 1 species
GAUGAACGCUAGCUACAGGCUUAACACAUGCAAGUCGAGGGGAAACGAUAUUGGAAGCUUGCUUCCGAUAGGCGUCGACCGGCGCACGGGUGAGUAACGCGUAUCCAACCUGCCCACCACUUGGGGAUAACCUUGCGAAAGUAAGACUAAUACCCAAUGACGUCCAUAGAAGACAUCUGAAAUGGAUUAAAGAUUUAUCGGUGAUGGAUGGGGAUGCGUCUGAUUAGCUUGUUGGCGGGGUAACGGCCCACCAAGGCGACGAUCAGUAGGGGUUCUUAGAGGAAGGUCCCCCACAUUGGAACUGAGACACGGUCCAAACUCCUACGGGAGGCAGCAGUGAGGAAUAUUGGUCAAUGGGCGAGAGCCUGAACCAGCCAAGUAGCGCGCAGGAUGACGGCCCUAUGGGUUGUAAACUGCUUUUAUAAGGGAAUAAAGUGAGUCUCGUGAGGCUUUUUGCAUGUACCUUAUGAAUAAGGACCGGCUAAUUCCGUGCCAGCCGCCGCCGUAA